UACCUUUUUGUUCUACUUGGAAUAAUUUCCAUUUAAUUUUAGACUCACCUCAUUUCCUACAUUUAGAGAGUAAUGAAUAUCAUUGUGACCUUGCUGCUUCCUAAGUUAUUUUGAUGGAUUUUUCUUCAUAUGCUUGAACAUGUAUUGCUUUAAAGAAUAAAUUCAAUAAAUUUUAGACUAACUUUUAAUUUAGCAUAAACCAUGCAGAUUAUAAUCAACUUCUUCAGAUGCAGCAAGGAUACUAAGACAAUUAAACAUAACAAUUUUUCAAAAUAAUCCUAAUAUAUGUAAACAGCAUAAACUUUGAUAACAUGAACCAUAUGCCAGAGAGGAAUUGCAUAGAAUUAGCACGACUAUAACCAAAUAAUUUGUGGAUUUAAAUAAAGAAAGACCAUCUAAAUUGUCUUAAGUUUCCAGAGGAAAGGCAAGAUGUGAUUCUAAUAUAAUUCUAAAUAAUAACAAAUCCUUUUUUUCUUAAAUUCUAGAUCUAAACCUGUGUUUACUUUGCCAGUUAUGAUAAUUGUUAUUUUUAGGGAAACAUGCAUACUUGUAAUUUAUGUCAGUAUUUCAAGUAAGGCCCAGUGCAAUGGUUAGAAAAUAAAAUAGCAAAUUUGUUAACCAAAUCUAUUUAAAAAUAUCAAGGGUAAUGUAAAUACAAGCAGCUGUGUUAGCAAAACAAAAAACAAAAUUAAAUUUGCAAGACUGCUCAGUCUCCACUAUUAAAUUAGUCCACUAAACUAUAUAGGAACAGAAAAGCUGAGAGUGUACUGUAUAAAAAAGAUUUGUCUUUAAUUUUGCACAAUGCAAAUAAAAAGUCUUGUGAUAGCUAGGAUGUGUGAAAUAGAAUUUACUUUGAUUGCUGUGAACUUGAUAACAGCAUUUAAGAAGAAAAAUAAGGUAACAUUGUAAUUAUCUUUUCAAAAAAUAGAAAUUCUAUAUAUUAUUACAAUGGCAAAACAAGUUCUUUUAAAAGCAUUUUAAUCAGAAAUAUAGUACUAAAACAGUUGUAUAAUGUCCAUUAGCUUGAAAACAACACCAUGCUUUGUAUGGCAUGCCAGGUUCUGUGGGCAAAGCUAGGUUUCUAAUUUUAAGAUCUUUUUUUCUUCUGGGUUCUUCAGCUGUGGAAUAGAAUUGUAAAUUUCCACAAACUAGAGAGGCAUAUUGUCCCAAACCCCUUCUCUAUGAGAAAAAUAACACAAAUAUUUGGCUCUUUUCUUUUGUGUGUUGCUUUGGUUGAUCCAAAUAAAUAUUGAUGGGAGACCUGCUACCUAUAAACCAGAUUUUUGGACUACAGAAUCAGACUAGGAAUAACUAAAUGAGUAAACUGUUUUUUAAGAAUUAAAAAGCAAAAAGUUAAAAGGGGAGUUAAAAGAGAACACUGUUCAUGUAGAUAGAAAAUGCAAUGUGCCUUUUUAUGGGAGCAUGAUUCUAUCAAAGUCAAAGAUAAGCUGAAUAGUUAAAUAACUGUAUACAUUUAUAUUAAAAAUAAAUAACUCUUCCAAAAAUGAAUAAAUGAUGUACCCACAAUAAUGCUAACUGUUUGGUCCAUAGAGUAACAGUCACUAAGUGAUUUUAUAUUCCACAAGGGUUUAAACUACAUUUCUUUUCAAAGACAGUGUUAGAGUUCUGGAAGGCUAUUUAUAAUGUGAUAAAUUGUGCCUUUGAUUUAGCCCGCUAUAAUACUGGCCUAUAGUUAAAUCAGUGGCACAGUUUAUUAGACUAUAUACAUGAAUGUUUUUGGAAUGAAGAUGAUACUUGAAAUGUCCCCCAGCAUAAUUAAUAUUUAUGUUCUGAGAAUCAUUAAGAUCAUAAUGCAGCAGUCCUGCAAAUUUUACUGUAUUAUAUUAUGUAUUUUCUAUGCACAAAAUAUAAUUUGUAGAAACAAAAAUAGUAUUGUUAAAAUAUCAUUACAGCGUUUUGAAUUGACUAAAAUAUAAUAUUCAGGAACUCAAAAUACUAAAAUUAGGAUUUAAAGAUUCUGGAAGAAUUAAAAAGUACGUAUUUGUUGUGUUGCCACAAUGAUGGUGAAUGAGAGAAUCAAGAAGUCACCAUUUAUAACCAGGGAAUAAAAGGAGGGUGCCUUUUUCUCAAAUAGUCAUUAUUGCAUCAGAUCAGGGCUAGAUUUUUAUAAAGAAUUGUCAGUUUGAAGUACUGCGUGUGUAAUGUGAAAGGCCAUUUUCUGACAUGCUACUUCCAAAUUAUUUAAGGCAUUGUAGUCUUAAUGGUUAAAAUCAGGACUUUGAAUUGGACCAAUGUAUCUAAUUCUAUAUAAUGAGAGCCAGUAUAAUCAUUAGUGUAAUGUUAUUACACAUAAAAGAAGGGAUGAAAUAUCUUGUGACUGUUCUGGGACACCUCACAACUUAAUUAUGUUCCAACAACUAAGCAAUUAAUAUUGCUUCUGUCUAGUGAAUUUGUGAUAC